UACGAAGGUGGCAAGCGUUGUUCGGAUUUACUGGGCGUACAGGGAGCGUAGGCGGUUGGAUAAGCCCUCCGUGAAAUCUCCAGGCUUAACCUGGAAAGUGCAGAGGGGACUGUUCAGCUAGAGGAUGGGAGAGGAGCGCGGAAUUCCCGGUGUAGCGGUGAAAUGCGUAGAGAUCGGGAGGAAGGCCGGUGGCGAAGGCGGCGCUCUGG
rnacentral:rRNA from 1 species